UAAACACGCACUACUGAAGCCACAUGGACAGCGCCGUCUUGUGGAAAUUUUUACAUAACUGUGGUUGCUUAUGAUGAGGCUCAGCAGAGAAGCGAUGUUGUUUGUUCAGAUGAUGUGGAGACGUGCAAACCAUCUCCUGUCCAAAGUAGUUCAUUGAUCGGACGAAAUCUUGUACUGGUGGUGUCGGCUACAGCGUCCGCUGUCGUUGCAGUUGCCGGCAUUGUCGUUGGAGUUGUUGUCUGGAGGAGGAAACGAAGAGGCCAACCGAAGACCUCUGACCAAACUGUGUACUACAACACAGGGCCAUCUGAUAACGCUAAGUCUACAGAGACAAAACCUGAAGACACGACGUAUGACAAACUGGAUGUCAACGCACGCGAUGGAGGAGCUGGUCAAGAACCAUACUGUUCUAUACAAACUUGUUGGUCGGACAAAACAAACAUAUAUGAAGCUGUUGAAAAUCAGAUGUACCUGAACAUUGGCGAACGACCGCCUGUUACCUUGAACAGUAAAUCAAGUGACAUAUACGAAAAAUUCUGAAUAUCACAUUACAUCAGUCGCACAUAACUCAUAUGCGUAAACAUUUUUAAGAAAUAUAGAAAUCUUUUAUAAAAAAACUAAACC